rnacentral:rRNA from 1 species
GUGAGGAAUAUUGGUCAAUGGGCGGGAGCCUGAACCAGCCAAGUCGCGUGAAGGAAGAAGGAUCUAUGGUUCGUAAACUUCUUUUGCAGGGGAAUAAAGUGCAGGACGUGUCCUGUUUUGUAUGUACCCUGAGAAUAAGGAUCGGCUAACUCCGUGCCAGCAGCCGCGGUAAUACGGAGGAUCCGAGCGUUAUCCGGAUUUAUUGGGUUUAAAGGGUGCGUAGGUGGUUUGAUAAGUCAGCGGUGAAAGUUUGCAGCUUAACUGUAAAAAUGCCGUUGAAACUGUCGGACUUGAGUGUAGAUGAGGUAGGCGGAAUGCGUGGUGUAGCGGUGAAAUGCAUAGAUAUCACGCAGAACUCCGAUUGCGAAGGCAGCUUACUAAGCUACAACUGACACUGAAGCACGAAAGCGUGGGGAUCAAACAGGAUUAGAAACCCGAGUAGUCC